rnacentral:misc_RNA from 1 species
AGCAAAACAUUUCGACAUACCUUGGAGUGCCACUUAUGAAAGAAGGAAGUAUAGAGGCACACGAUAAUCUAAUGACAAGAUGGACUUCUUCCCUUUACAACCACACUCAGGUAGUUGGUUUGGAAGGUGACACAGAGAAGAUAAAGGAUUGGCUAUUUGAAGCAAGUGAUGGUUUACUUGCCGUUGCAUUUGUGGGUAUGGGAGGGCUCGGUAAAACCACUCUUGCUCAGAAAGUCUUCAAUGAGAGAAGCAUGGAGAAUCACUUUGAGAGGAGAAUUUGGGUAUCUGUUUCUCAAACAUUUACUGACGAACAAGUCAUGAGAAGCAUAUUGAAGAGUUUGGGAGAUGCAUGCAUUGGUGACGACCAGGGUGAAUUGUUAAGAAAAAUUAACCAGUACCUUUUAGGAAAGAGGUUUUUGAUUGUUAUGGAUGACGUUUGGAGCUUGGACAAUGCUUGGUGGCAGAAAAUCUAUUCUGGACUACCCAAAGGUAAUGGGAGCAGUGUUAUUGUAACUACAAGAAAUGAGUUAGUUGCUCGCAAGAUGGGAGUCACAGAAGCAAG